GUGCUGAAACUUUUUUUAAAGCGAGUUCUUUGAACUGUGUGCACGAGCGCAGCGAGUCGAUUAGCUAUUUCAAAAGGAGAACUAGUAACUAGUUACAGUUUAUUGACUCGGUGCACUUUUUUUAUAGCUAAAUUGCUUGAGUUGAGUUUUCUCAAACAAUUCGGAGUUAAUUUGGAAGUAUCUUUGACUUGAAACGAGCAGAAUUUCUCGAGGACUUCCUAAUCCUGAAAAAUGACGGAACCAAAGGUAAAAAGUAAUUAAAACUGACUUGCAUUUGAACUGAGACGGUUUUUGGUGCAAGAUGACAAUUGCUUUCGACAAACUCAAAUGAUACAAAAAAUCAUCGUCAGAAAUAGGAGUUUGACGAGCCCGGAACUUGAAUGGUCUAACAGGAGUGCAGAUGCUGGAGGAGUUACCAGAAAAUACCAGAAACGUCCCAUUCGAUUUUCAGUAGCAGCGCCCUCUGUUUAAGAAACGUGUAACCCAGCUUGACGGUGGCGCAGAAACCUGUAAUACCACAAUUACACAGAUUCACGUAAUCGCAGGUCCAGUGUAAUUCGUUAAUCGAUUUUAUUAAUAAAGAAUAAUCAUCACAA